rnacentral:lncRNA from 1 species
AGGCCACUCACCUGGAGGAGCGUGAUUUCCCGGAAUGUUCUCUGAAGAGACAGAAACACAGGUGUGUGGGUGGGUGGAGCAAGAAGGAAGCCCAUGUCCUGAGAGGACCCAAAGGAGCUGAUGUCUGUCACCCAAUACCCACCAGACCAGGCGUGGCAAGGGGGCAGUGUUCCGAGACAGGCCAGAACAUCUGCUAUGACUGGGCUCCAGCUCCCACCUGAGCUUCCAGGCACCAGGGCAAGGGGCUGCCCCUCCCUGCCCCCAUCCUCUCCCACGCUUCUCCCCACACACUCACCUGGGCAUCUGUCUUAUCCCUAAAAGCAUCAAAGAUUUUCUUGAUGGCCACGACCUCACCAGUCCUCCGGUCCACUGCCUUCCACACAAUGCCAUAGGCCUGGGAAGGAGUGCCGUCACACAGGGCCAGCCCCUUCCCCCCAUCCCCUGCCCACCCAGAUUGUCCCUACAGACAUGAGGCUCCUCCUUCCCAUCCUGGGUCCCGAGAGGGGAUGGGAGUGUGGGCUCCCGCAACUGCAGGCUGCCCUAGACUCCGACAUCUUCCAGAGGAGGGGAGGUAGAGGGAAGGGAGGGUGAGAGCUGGCGAGGCCCUGGAGGAAAGGAGGCCACAGAGGGGAGCGUCUGGGCAGGAAAUGAAGCUCGGGGAUGCCCUAUCAUCCUUCCAGCUGCCCAGGCACUCUCCCUCCCUUUCUCUCACACCCCAUCCACCCCCAAUCCCAUUGGCCCUACCUUCAGAUUCCUCCAGAAUCUAGCCCCUGCCACGGUCUCUUCUGCCCCCACCCUGGUCCCAGCCUCUGGCAUCUCUCGCUGCGUGGCUACGCUAACCCCUUAACUCAUCUCCGUCUGCCGCUCCCGUGCACACCCACGGAGCCAGGUUCCUGGGAGUCAGGAUCGUGUUACCCCAUGAGGAAACUGAGGCACGAAGGGGCUCCAGACCACCUCUCCCGCCUACGGAGGAGGCAGGACGCCAGUGUGUGACGGAACAGGCCUCCGAGGGGACCGGCCGCGCCCCGCAGGUCCUCUCUCCGCAGAUCUGCCGCGCCCCUCGGCGCGCGGACGCACCCCCAGGCACUCACCCCCUGCCCGAGCUGCCGCCUGAGUAGGUAUCUCCGGACAAUGCGAGGGUCCACUACGGUGCACA